AUAAGCUAUGUACUAUUGAAGGAGCUUUAGCCGCUGCAAAUCUUAUCCUUCCUCCCUCCAGGUUUUCUUCAGUGUCGAAAUUGGUAUGGAGACGUGGAUGGAGAUUUGAGUCUUAGGAAUUUGGGAAGAGCUCAAGUGAUUCAGAAUGAAAAGACCUUGGCACAGACCUGUUAAGGAAGCUCCAUAUAAGGGCCACCGGGGUUGGCUGAGUCAGAAUACCAGCCAUGUGGCAUGUCGCAUGGGGCAAGAGCUGUGCUGCCCAUGGGAGUCCAGAGAAGGAGCACACUAAGGACCAACACCAGCAUUUGCUCUAGGGGAAGCCUGCAGCUAUGUCAUGAGGACCCUCAACAGCCCUGUGCAGAGGACUAUGUGGCAUGAAAGAUACCUUCUGCCAACAACCAGCCCCAACUUGCCAAGCAUGUGAACAAGCUAAACUGAAAGCAGAUCUUCAGCCCCAAUCAAGCCUUCAGAUGACAGUAACCUCAGCCAAUAUACUGACUAUAACCUCAUAAAAGACCCUGAACCAGAACCCUCUAAGCCACUCUCAAACUCUACCCCACAUAAACUGUGAAAUAAUAUAUGUUUAUUGUUAUUUUGGGCC